GAUGAACGCUAGCGGCAGGCUUAAUACAUGCAAGUCGAGGGACAGCACAGGUAGCAAUACUGGGUGGUAACCGGCAAACGGGUGCGGAACACGUACACAACCUUCCUUUAAGUGGGGGAUAGCCCAGAGAAAUUUGGAUUAAUACCCCGUAAUAUAGUUGAAUGGCAUCAUUUAAUUAUUAUAGCUACGGCGCUUAAUGAUGGGUGUGCGGCUGAUUAGAUAGUUGGCGGGGUAACGGCCCACCAAGUCUACGAUCAGUAGCUGAUGUGAGAGCAUGAUCAGCCACACGGGCACUGAGACACGGGCCCGACUCCUACGGGAGGCAGCAGUAAGGAAUAUUGGUCAAUGAACGCAAGUCUGAACCAGCCAUGCCGCGUGAAGGAUUAAGGUCCUCUGGAUUGUAAACUUCUUUUAUUUGGGACGAAAAAGGGCCUUUCUAGGUCAACUGACGGUACCAGAUGAAGAAGCACCGGCUAACUCUGUGCCAGCCGCCGCGGUAAGAC
rnacentral:rRNA from 1 species